AGUGAACGCUGGCGGUAGGCCUAACACAUGCAAGUCGAACGGCAGCACAGUAAGAGCUUGCUCUUACGGGUGGCGAGUGGCGGACGGGUGAGGAAUACAUCGGAAUCUACUUUUUCGUGGGGGAUAACGUAGGGAAACUUACGCUAAUACCGCAUACGACCUACGGGUGAAAGCAGGGGAUCUUCGGACCUUGCGCGAUUGAAUGAGCUGAUGUCGGAUUAGCUAGUUGGCGGGGUAAAGGCCCACCAAGGCGACGAUCCGUAGCUGGUCUGAGAGGAUGAUCAGCCACACUGGAACUGAGACACGGUCCAGACUCCUACGGGAGGCAGCAGUGGGGAAUAUUGGACAAUGGGCGCAAGCCUGAUCCAGCCAUACCGCGUGGGUGAAGAAGGCCUUCGGGUUGUAAAGCCCUUUUGUUGGGAAAGAAAAGCAGCAGGUUAAUACCCCGCUGUUCUGACGGUACCCAAAGAAUAAGCACCAGCUAACUUCGUG
rnacentral:rRNA from 1 species